UCCAGGUCGCCCAGCAGGCCCAACAUCCGUCUGAGCAAGAAUGAUAAGAGGGAGCUCCUGGAAAUUGCAAGAGCCAACGCCGCCAGGGCCCUCGGGGUGGAUGACUUGGAACUGCCGGACAGCGUGAAGGCCGAGCUGCUGGCGGACGGGCGGGAGAAAGGGGUGAGGCGAGAGAGUACCACUCUGAAGGGUCUGAAGGAGCAUAAUAAAAAGACUGAAGCAGAAGAGGAGUCUCCUUACACGGAGAUGUCACCUAAAAACAAGUUGAUUGUUUUCAGCCCAAAAAAUGCUGUGGCAAAGCCAUCAUAUUGCACACAACCAGGCAGUCCUGAAUCCACAGUCAAGUUUGAAAGCAAGAAAAACGGAUACCCUUAUGGACUUUGGGUACCAGUCGCUCAACAAGCAAAAACUAAUGGGCUGUUUUCAAAUAUAUCUCCCAAAAAUUCCUUCAUAAAGACGCGGUAGCUUCAGGAGCAAGUGUUUCUGUAAAUUUAAUGUAUUUUUUUGUACAUAGAAUUUAUAUUAUAUGGGGAGGGUGGGCUGUUAAAAAUGGUUUUAAAUAUUAGAUGUUUUCUUUCAGAUGUUAUGUGAAAUGAAGACUGGACAAGAUUUCAUACAGGUGGGAAUUUUAAUCUAAACUUGUUACAGUGAGUGUUUUGCAUUUGUAUUUUUUUUCAUCCUCUUGGUCCUUGAAUAAAAAUAAAUUUGAAACUGGGUGUUUUGAGUGGUUUUGUCAAAACUGUGAAGUUCCUUCAGACACGGUUCAUACAAAGACCAACUUUUCAGACAAAAAUGAAAUUCAACAGCCAUGAAAUGGAUGCAGGUA
rnacentral:lncRNA from 1 species